GUCCACGCCGUAAACGAUGGAUACUAGCUGUUGGGCGCAAGUUCAGUGGCUAAGCGAAAGUGAUAAGUAUCCCACCUGGGGAGUACGUUCGCAAGAAUGAAACUCAAAGGAAUUGACGGGGCCCGCACAAGCGGUGGAGCAUGUGGUUUAAUUCGAUGAUACGCGAGGAACCUUACCAAGGCUUAAAUGUAGUUUGACCGUUUUGGAAACAGAACCUUUCGCAAGACAAAUUACAAGGUGCUGCAUGGUUGUCGU
rnacentral:rRNA from 1 species